GCGCAGCCCGACUUGAGCGGAAAUCCUUUUUUGCUUCUUCUCAGUUUCUAUUGAACUAGAAAUGUUGUGCAAAAAAGAUUGGGAGCGGAAGGCGGAUUAAGC
rnacentral:sRNA from 1 species